UCUUGAAGACUUUGUAUAAGAUGUGCAU
rnacentral:sRNA from 1 species